rnacentral:rRNA from 1 species
UACGUAGGGGGCUAGCGUUGCUCGGAAUCACUGGGCGUAAAGCGCACGUAGGCGGCUUUUUAAGUCAGGUGUGAAAUCCUGGAGCUCAACUCCAGAACUGCCUUUGAUACUGGGAAGCUUGAGUCCGGAAGAGGUGAGUGGAACUCCGAGUGUAGAGGUGAAAUUCGUAGAUAUUCGGAAGAACACCAGUGGCGAAGGCGGCUCACUGGUCCGGUACUGACGCUGAGGUGCGAAAGCGUGGGGAGCAAACAGG